AAGGAGUUACCAUGAUAGAGAUGAAUGAUUGUCGUGUGGUGUAUCUUGAAGUUGUCAUUUCGGUGACUAAAGAGAAUAUUGAAUUUUCUACCAACGGAUUUGUUGAAACUGGAAAUGGUCAAGAUAAAGUUACGGACAUAGAGAUGAACAUGAAUGAUGUCCAAAAGCAAAAUCGUAAGAGCUGGACCCAAAGCGGACAAUAUAAUAUGAAGACACGUUGGGUUUAAAUUUACAGUUUUGUGUUUGUUUUUGUUUAAAAGGUUAUGCUCAUCAAUUAUUGUCUUGUUGUGUAUCUUGAAGUUGUCAUUUUGGUGACUAAAGAGAAUGUUGAAUUUUAUACCAACGAAUUUGUUGAAACUGGAAAUGAUCAAGAUGAAGUUACGGACAUAGAGAUGAAAACUUGUGAAAAAGCCUGAAGGAGUUACCGUGAUAGAGAUGAAUGAUUGUCUUGUGGUCUAUCUUGAAGUUGUCAUUUCGGUGACUAAAGAGGAUGUUGAAUUUUCUACAAACGAAUUUGUUGAAACUGGAAAUGGUCAAGAUGAAGUUAAAGACAUAGAGAUGAACAUGGAUGAUGUCCAAAAGCAAAAUCGUAAGAGCUGGGCCCAAAGCGGACAAUAUAAUACGAAGACACGUUAGGUUUAAAUUUUCAGUUUUGUGUUUGUUUUUGUUUAAAAGGUUAUGCUUAUGAAUGAUUGUCUUGUUGUGUAUCUUGAAGUUGUCAUUUCGGUGACUAAAGAGAAUGUUGAAUUUUCUACCAACGGAUUUGUUGAAAUUGGAAAUGGUCAAGAUGAAGUUACGGACAUAGAGAUGAAAACUUGUGAAAAAGUCUGAAGGAGUUACCGUGAUAGAGAUGAAUGAGCCUGUCCUAGCGGAGUUUUCAGUGAAAGAUUUGAAUAAUUUCGCCUAGAGGGCAACACCGUUCUUGAUAUGGUUAUUAUGAGUCUGUUUACUAGGGUGCCGCCACUGCAGGAACAUAGAACUGAAGAUGUCAGUUAUGUUCUGGUGGAGUACAACAUUGCUGAGAUUGAUUUUCUUUAGUUCUAUUUGAUUGAGAGUUCUAAAUCAGGAGAGGUCGACGGAGACAAAGAAGACACAACAUCAACAUAAUCUGUUUUUGAACAUUCUAAUUUUAAC